UUUUAUUUGAGAGUUUGAUCCUGGCUCAGGAUGAACGCUGGCGGCGUGCCUAACACAUGCAAGUCGAGCGAACCCUUCGGGGUGAGCGGCGGACGGGUGAGUAACGCGUGGGUAACCUGCCUCAUACACAUGGAUAACAUACCGAAAGGUAUGCUAAUACAGGAUAACAUAUUUUUAUCGCAUGAUAAAAAUAUCAAAGCUCCGGCGG
rnacentral:rRNA from 1 species